CUUGGUUCAUAAGAAAUACGGACAUUAUUGAAUAAAAAUUGUUGGUGACAGGAAAUACAACAAUCACAAGAAUAUUUCCUAGGAGACAUUGUACCUGCAGAUCAAAGCAAAACUUUUGAGAUACUAGCAUAGCAUGGUAACUUCAAAGGUUGUUCUCGGCAUGGCUGCGAAUCUGCUUUAGGUAUAAAGCUUACAAGAACUUGAGCAUCCUGAAAACAUUCCAGAUUAACUUCCCAGUUCAACAGAAAGCAAUUAAAGGCCCCGAAAGCAAUGAUAGUUUGAAACCUAAAGCUCAAAAAAUCAUUUCCAAAAUAUUUCUUUCUCAGGAAAUAUUUUCUCAGGUAAAAACAUGGCUGGACACUCUAGACAUUUUUCAGGAAUUGAAUCUAAUAAACUACAGAUAUUAAAAUGAAUGAAGAUUGGCAGACAUAGAUGGCAUUAUAAUUUGCAAAUGAAUUAAAUAACAACAGUUACACCAGUAAUAAUCGAUCCUCUUUCCUGAAGCCUCUGGUGCAUACUCACCAACUCUCUGUCUCUUUCAUUACUUUUUAAAUUGUUUCAAGGCUGAUUACCAUUUUCCCUCAAACUGGUAACUUUCUGAGAUUUCUUAAUUAUACUUCAUUUCAAGAAGAACAUCUUUAUUACACAUAGACUGUGGUGCAGAUGAAGUAUAGUUUGGGAUUGAUAUUUCAAUAUAAACACAAUAUACUUUUGUAUUGAAGUGGAAUGAAGUUAAUCCCCCUUUGUGCAUUCACAUCCAUUUCUCUGUUUUCUACCUUUGUCUCAGUGAUGCCAUUUUUUCUUCUGCAAACCUCAAAAGUUAUUGCCCAUGCUGUGCCCAGCAUGUACCUACUAAGAUUUACAGCCUUCUUUUUCUGCAUGGCUCCCUUCCCUGCCAAAUGUAAUUCUGAUUUUACUGUACAUUGGGUCUUUCUUCCUUACUCUCACAUUAUGAUGCAACUCAUAAAUUUCCAAAAUAAUGCAUCAAUGAAGUAAAUUGCCUACAUGAUGCUUUCUCCAUGAGCACCAAGGAUACACUCCUGGUGUGUGUUUAGGGCUAUUUUGAGGCCCUCUCCUGUAUGGAAAUCUUUGGAAGAGCAGAGUCAUGUUCUGCCCACCUGAAUAUUAGUAAGAAAGUGAAGCAAUGCCACCCAGCCUCCAAAGCUGAUUCAGAGGCUUUCUUGAUCCACCCGCUGGAGAGGAUCCACCACCAUGCUUAAAAUUCUCCCCUUCAUUGUCGAGUAAAUCCGCAGUGGAUCACUUAUCAUCUUUGUGUGACAAUGUUUAACCCUCACAAUACCCAAGGCAGGAAAAAUAAAGGUGAAAUCAAUUUUGUCUUCCAAGGGAGCAGUGAGUCACAGAAGAUGAACUUAAAGGCACUUUCCAGCAUUAUCGGUCACUGUCUAAAAUCUGUACUUGUAACUGUGUUUAAAAUGUUUCAUAAGGAAAAGCUAUAUGUUGGAUCUGUAAAUGGGGAAAAUAAUAGUAUUCACCUCAUGACAUUAUAAUGAAGGUUGAGUAAGAUAAUACUUGCAAAGUACUUAACACAGUGCCUAUGUUAGUAUUCAAAGAUGUUAUUACUAUUAGUUAACUAGUAUCUUGUCUACUGUGCUACACUGGCUCACUAUUUUAAAAUUCACAUAAGAUAGGUUGUGUUGUAUUUAAAGUAAACAAGAAGUAAUUUUCACUUAUUUCACUUUUAAAAUAUUGUUUAUUUAUUUAUUUUGUGCUGUCAGGGAUCAAACUCAGGGCCUCACAUAUGCUAGGCAGGCAGUCUACCACUAAACUACACACCUAAACCAAAGAAGCAAUUUUUCAAGGGCAUGAUUUUUUCUAUCCAAAUUUGUUACUUAAUUGGUUUUCACAAACACUACAGAAAAAAAAUCAGCAUUGCUUUUGGGAAUCUACACUUCUGUUACUUUCUUCUCAAUGAUGUACUGUCUUGAUCUUGAGACAAAAUGCUGGAAUGGAAAAUGAAGUAAUAAUAGUAACAGUAGCCAUACUGUUAACUUUCUCCUUUUAUCUCUUCCUCAAAGUGAAACCAUGGAUUGUUCUAGUUUUGUAUUCCAGUAAUGCCGAGGAAAUCUCAGAAAUCAGUAAAGUGUCCAAGAAGGCACCUUUGUGAUGUUUGUUGCAGUCAUAAUGCCCUGGCAGCUGGCAGCUGUAAUAUUGCUCCUCUUGGAUGCAUAAUUGUUUUCUGCCUGUUAAGUACUGUGGCCUAAGAUUAUGUAAGCCUAAUCUUAACAUUUUUCUCAUUGUUUUUGUGUUCCUUUAAAAAGGCAAACCAGAGGGGGCAAGGAUUUAGCUCAGUGGUGCCACUGCCUGCCCCUCAAGCACAAGGUCCUGAGUUUGAUCCCCAGUGCCACAAAAAAAAAAGGCAAGCCAGAAAUUUGCAGUCUAACAUACUACUGGUGAGAGUAUAAACUGAUGAUGUAUUUGGAGAUCAAUUUGACUUUAUUAAAACUGUGCGCAUGUGUGUAUUUUUUCAGUGCUGGGGAUCAAAUCCAGGGCCUGGUACUUGCUAGGCCAGUGCUCUACCACUAAGUUACUAUACCCAGCCCUAAUUUCUGUUAAAAACUUAAAUUUGCACAUCUCCACACCUGCCAUUUCGCUUCUAGGAAUUUCCUCUACGGAAAUACAAGUGCACAAAAACAUAUAUUAGGAUCUUCACUGCAGUGCUAUUGAUAAUGAAUAAUACCGUCCUCAACUCGAAAGCUGAGACAACAGGCUAUUAUACAGCUGUUUAAAACUGAACUAAAUAUACACGGGAAGCAUGACGGAAUAGACACCUGGUCACCGAGUGGUCAUUUCUCUAGGAGAGGGUGAAGAAAUCAUAGAAUCUCAAAGAAGUGAAACACAUAAUGAUAUUAAGACUAACUUCAAAAAUUAAAAAAAAUUUGUUUCUCUCAGGAAUAGACAUGAAGACCAUAUUCUAAGUUUAUACGGAGACCAUGUUCUAAGUUUAUUCCAGAGGAUGGGAAAGAGAUCAUCAGCUAGUAGCAAUCUACCCUGCAGAAAGAAGCUACUCAUGAUAAACACUAGGACUUGUGACAGACACACUAUCCAGUGACUCCAGGGAGCCACACAUCUUUGCAUAAUCCCCUUUUGAGUACACAUAGGAAUCUGGGACUUGCUCCUAACCAAUAAAAUGUGGAUGUCUGUCUUUGGCUAAGGGAAGAGAUCCCCCUGUGUCCAUUGUUUCAGGCUAGUGACAGAAACUCCUACUGAUUUUGAGAAAGUCAAGUAGCCAUGUUGUGGAAGGGUAUGUGAGAGGGCCAUGACAAUCACCUAUGUGUGGCCUCUCCCUGCCAGCUGUAAGAAGCUGGGGUCUUCAGCUGUGCAGCUAAAGAAAAGUGAAUUUUCCAAAAACCCUUAUCAGUUUGGAAAUGGAAUUUUCCCUAGUUGACUCUUCAGAUGAGAACACAGCCUGGCUGCCACCAACAUUGCAGCCUGGGAAGACCCUGAUUGUAGGACACAGAAAAAGCUGUACCCAGAUUCCUGACCAUAGAAACUGGCAGAUACUGAGUUUCAUUGUUCCAAGUCACUAAAUUUGUGAUAAUUCAUUACAACAAUAAGAUAACUAAUACAAGAAUUGUCCCCUUUUCCUCCAAUGACAGCUUCCAAAGUAUUGAUGUUUUCUCUCCUGUUGUCUUUAUGUUUUAAUUUUUUAAUCUUUGAGUUUUUAAAUACACUUUAGAUUCUUGUGCCUCUUAUUAUUGUGAACUUCUUUAUUUGAAAUACAUUCAAGAAAUAGAAUUUAUUUAAAAGAAACAGAAUUUUUUUUAAAUGUAUGGCGCCUUUAAAUUUUGUACUUGGGCCAGGUUCAAGAGUUUUCCCCAAGUACAUAGACUCUUAAUGCACUUUUAUACUUUCAAAGAAGUAUAAAUUACAUAACUAUAUUUUAAAAGCAAGAAUUACAAAUUUAAUAAAUAGCUUUAUCUCUGUUCAUACCCUCAUACUGUUUUGCUGCAAG
rnacentral:lncRNA from 1 species